rnacentral:rRNA from 1 species
AGAGUUUGAUCCUGGCUCAGAACGAACGCUGGCGGCGUGGAUAAGACAUGCAAGUCGAACGCUGAUUUCAGGGUAGCAAUAUUCUGAAGUCGGAGUGGCGCAAGGGUGCGUAACACGUGGGCAAUUCUGCCGUGAAGUCUGGAAUAACUUGCUGAAAGGCGAGCUAAUGCCGGAUGUGACAAUUGGGAGGCAUCUCCUGAUUUUCAAAGUUGGGGACCGCAAGGCCUGACGCUUCACGAUGAACCCGCGGCCUAUCAGCUAGUUGGUGAGGUAACGGCUCACCAAGGCUAAGACGGGUAGCUGGUCUGAGAGGACGACCAGCCACACUGGAACUGAGACACGGUCCAGACACCUACGGGUGGCAGCAGUCGAGAAUUUUUCACAAUGGGCGAAAGCCUGAUGGAGCGACGCCGCGUGGGGGAUGAAUGGCUUCGGCCCGUAAACCCCUGUCAUUUGCGAACAAAUUGGUUCACUUAAUACAUGAACC